UAUUUCUUCAUGCUAUCAGUCAGUCAGUCAGCCAGCUAAAGUCAUUUAUCUAAUCCGUCAGCCAGUCAAUCAGUCAGCAAGUCAUUCAGUCAGUCAGUUAGUCAGUCAAUCAAUUAGUUAGCGAGUCAUCUAGUCAGUCGGUCAGCCAGUCAUCAGUCAGUCAGUCAGUCAGUCAGUCACACACACAAUACAAGCCAGAGUUCCCUAUCAGUCAUAAGAGUUUACAUUUGACAAGUUUACAAAUUAUUCUAUACACACACACACACACACACACACACACACACACACACACACACACACACACACACA